UGUUCAGCAUGUUUCUCUGUUUCCAGUCUAUAGAUCCAGACACACUUUCUACCUUCACCUGUGCAGUAAAGACUGAGAGCAGAGCUGAAACCAACCGUCCAAUCAGUGAGCAGCAUCAACACCUGAGCUUCAUUCAGACUCUGUUAUUGAAGAUGUUGUUGGUACAAAGUUCAUCUGCUGCUCACAUGAAUCCAUGAAAGAUUUAUUUCACUGAAUGUUUCUUCAAAGCUCAUUUCAACCUGUUGAAGUCAUGAAUGAAAGUGCAGACUGAGAGUGGAUCACAUGAUGUGUAAGGUGUGUCAUGUGACAUGUUCAGUAUUGUCACACGUGUCUAGAUUGUCCCUGAUAUCAUAACUGCUCAAACACUGAUGAUUAUAUUUGAAGAAUUAUUACUGAUGGCAGCAAAGUUUGAAUGGAGCUCUCUGUCUGUGCUGAUUUGUCGCCCUCUGGAGGUCAAAACACAAACUGCAUGAUGUCACUGUGACCACCACAGUGACAGGAAGUGUUUUUAUGACUGAAACACUGACAUGAUGCUAACGGCUGUCGUUAGGCUCACUGACAGCAGUGCUGAUGUGUUCAUGUCAAACACUGGCUCAGGUCAGACUCCUUCAUCCUGCUCCACAGCCACACAACCACAUGUUUAAGGACCAGUGGACUUUCCAGUAUCACAUCUGUUAGCUUGGUGUCUCAAAUGAAAGAAUAGAUGUGGAUCUGUGUUAGAGCAGCUUCUUCCUCCAUGGAUGUCCACGAGCAUCAGUCCAGCUGCUUUAAUUCAAUUCAAUUCAAUUUUAUUUAUAUAGCGCCAAAUCACAACAAAAGCAGCCUCAGGGCCCAGCAGAAGAUGGAAGAGGAGGAGGAUGGAUCAGUGUGUGACGCCCUGUGACUCUCACUGAUGCUGCGCUCACAUCUGUUUUCCUGUUGGAUGGAAACGGGCCACCGUCUGGCAUGUCUCGUAGUCUGUGUGACAUCCCUCGUGUCAUGUCAGGUUAAGUGUUUUCAGGAUUGUUGUGCAGUUCAUGUUGAAGUUAUUCAUGUAUUGCACUGUGCACAAGGUUCUAGUUUAGUUUGGCCACUGCCCUUUCUGCUUUAUGUUGCCCUGUAUCAGCCAUAAUAUAGGUUCACCUUUUGUUAUAGAUAUUUCUGUCUCUGUGCCUGUGUCCAUACCUGGGUCCAACACACACACACCUCCGCACAGUCUGCCUCAGCCGAUCGUGACACAGUUAUCAGCCCCAUAACUGUGGCUCAGAUUAGCACCUGCUAGCAGGCUCAGUAGGUCGUUAUCACCAAUUCAUGAGCCGCAGCGCUGUGUCCCAAAAAUAUUAUUUCUCUUAUCGACUUGAAACCACUGACAUGAUCUUUAUUUUAAAACAGGUGAGCAGAUCCAGUGUAUGUCAUCAGUGAGCUGGUGAAAAGAUGCCAGGACAAGAACAUCAGCCUGGACUGUGUGUGUGCUGUCCUCACAUAUACAUAAGUGCAGCUCCUUCAGAGAUGGGACAAAGAGGAGGUCACCAGCCUGCUGAGGCCAAGUUCGAUUUGAUUUUCCAGUCAACGCUGAGAGACUUUGACCAGGAAGUCAGAGGUCAGCUCAUGCUGCGAGCAGGAAAUGAAUCAAGGAAGAAGGAUCGCUCUACUCAAUCUCAAAGAAAAUCUCCUGGUUUGUUUCAUGAAUAUUUCUCAGACAGAAGAAGGUGAUAUUCCAACGGACCUGAAAAGCAGAGCCGUCGAUGCCUUACAUUUGAAGAGCAGAGCAGCUGAAGAAAAGCUGUGACUCCAUCGUGAGAUGGACACUGUGAUUCAUCACCAGCAACACACUGACCUGCAUUCAUCCAUAGAUGACACUCAGUUCCACAGCUGUUCCUGUUCACAGCUGCAUCCAGUUAGAGAGGAAACUGUAUAAUGCAAUGAUGAUGUUCCAGUGUCCUGCAGAUGGCGUUCUUGCAACGCGUUCAAAGAGCCGACACUGAUGAUGCUGCUCUGCUCAACUUACUUUAGCCUGGGUUGGACUCUAUAUGAGCAGCUUCCACUCUGGUUUCACUGUUAAACACACUUGUUUGAUUUCACUUGGAAAAGCUGAAAAAUAAAUAUGUUAUUGCAAAAUUA